CCUGAGGCGUGGCUCCGAGCUAACGCGUUAAGUCGACCGCUGGGAGUACGGCCGCAAGGUUAAAACUCAAAUGAAUUGACGGGGGCCCGCACAAGCGGUGGAGCAUGUGGUUUAAUUCGAUGCAACGCGAAGAACCUUACCUGGCCUUGACAUCCAGAGAACUUAGCAGAGAUGCUUUGGUGCCUUCGGGAACUCUGAGACAGGUGCUGCAUGGCUGUCGUCAGCUCGUGUCGUGAAAUGUUGGGUUAAGUCCCGCAACGAGCGCAACCCUUAUCCUUUGUUGCCAGCGGUUCGGCCGGGAACUCAAAGGAGACUGCCGGUGAUAAACCGGAGGAAGGUGGGGAUGACGUCAAGUCAUCAUGGCCCUUACGGCCAGGGCUACACACGUGCUACAAUGGCGCAUACAAAGAGAAGCGACCUCGCGAGAGCAAGCGGACCUCAUAAAGUGCGUCGUAGUCCGGAUUGGAGUCUGCAACUCGACUCCAUGAAGUCGGAAUCGCUAGUAAUCGUAGAUCAGAAUGCUACGGUGAGUACGUUCCCGGGCCUUGUACACACCGCCCGUCACACCAUGGGAGUGGGUUGCAAAAGAAGUAGGUAGCUUAACCUCCGGGAGGGCGCUUACCACUUUGUGAUUCAUGACUGGGGUGAAGUCGUAACAAGGUAACCAAGGGCGAAUUCCAG
rnacentral:rRNA from 1 species